CCUACGGGAGGCUGCAGUAGGGAAUCUUCGGCAAUGGGGGGAACCCUGACCGAGCAACGCCGCGUGAGUGAAGAAGGUUUUCGGAUCGUAAAGCUCUGUUGUAAGAGAAGAACGGGUGUGAGAGUGGAAAGUUCACAAUGUGACGGUAUCUUACCAGAAAGGGACGGCUAAAUACGUGCCAGCAGCCGCGGUAAUACGUAGGUCCCGAGCGUUGUCCGGAUUUAUUGGGCGUAAAGCGAGCGCAGGCGGUUAGAUAAGUCUGAUGGUAAAGGCUGUGGCUCAACCAUAGUUCGCUUUGGAAACUGUCAAACUUGAGUGCAGAAGGGGAGAGUGGAAUUCCAUGUGUAGCGGUGAAAUGCGUAGAUAUAUGGAGGAACACCGGUGGCGAAAGCGGCUCUCUGGUCUGUAACUGACGCUGAGGCUCGAAAGCGUGGGGAGCGAACAGGAUUAGAUACCCCUGUAGUC
rnacentral:rRNA from 1 species